rnacentral:rRNA from 1 species
AGCUAAUAGAUACCCGGGUAGUCCACGCCCUAAACGAUGUCUACUAGUUGUUGGUGGAGUAAAAUCCAUGAGUAAACGCAGCUAAACGCGUGAAGUAGACCGCCUGGGGAGUACGGUCGCAAGAUUAAAACUCAAAGGAAUUGACGGGGGCCCGGCACAAGCGGUGGAUUAUGUGGAUUAAAUUCGAUGCAACGCGAAAACCUUAACCUGGCCUUGACAUGCCACUAACGAAGCAGAGAUGCAUUAGGUGCCCGUAACGGGAAAGUGGACACAGGUGCUGCAUGGCUGUCGUCAGCUCGUGUCGUGAGAUGUUGGGUUAAGUCCCGCAACGAGCGCAACCCUUGCCAUUAAUUGCCAUCAUUUAGUUGGGCACUUUAAUGGGACGUGCCGGUGACAAACCGGAGGAAGGUGGGGAGUGACGUCAAGUCCUCAUGGCCCUUACUGGCCAGGGCUUCACACGUAAUACAAUGGUCGGUACAGAGAGUUGCCAACCCGCGAGGGGGAGCGUAAUCUCAGAAAGCCGAUCGUAGUCC